rnacentral:rRNA from 1 species
UACGAAGGGGGCGAGCGUUGUUCGGAUUUACUGGGCGUAAAGGGCGCGUAGGCGGCCGAUCAAGUCAGGCGUGAAAGCCCCGGGCUUAACCUGGGAAUGGCAUUGGAAACUGGCUCGCUGGAGUGUGGCAGAGGGGGGUGGAAUUCCGCGUGUAGCAGUGAAAUGCGUAGAGAUGCGGAGGAACACCGAUGGCGAAGGCAGCCCCCUGGGCUAACACUGACGCUCAGGCACGAAAGCGUGGGGAGCAAACAGG